UGUACGUCGCGUCAUUGAUUUGUAAAUUGGAUUUUUCUAUAAAUAAAGACUUGAUAAAACUAAAAAUAUUUUAUCGGCUACAUGCUAAUGACAUAACAUGUUAUAUUAGUACUUGCUGUAUUGAAGGUCUUAGGAGGUAGAGACUAAAGUAAUAAAAAAAAACCUCACAGGUAAAAAAAACUCACAAACUCAGAUGAACGCCUAAACAGCCUGGAAGAAAAAGCCAAACUGGCUUCCAAAAAGCUGGGUGGUUUGGGUAGAGCUAAGCAGUAUUUCACUGAGGUACAACGUAUGCAGCUCUACAAGGCUCAAGUACGACCUCAUAUGGAAUACUGCUCACAUCUCUGGGCUGGUGCUCCCAAAUACCAGCUUCUUCCUUUCGACCAAAUUCACCAAAGGGCUUGUCGAAUUGUCCAAUGUCUUACUGAUCGGCUUGAUGCUCUCUCUUUAUCUUUUGUUCUUGGGAAUAAAUGAAAGUCGGGGCGCCAGGGCAGGACUGAAUGUCGGAUGACUCAUUAUCUCGACACCUGCCAUAGUCAAAUAUUCAACAGUCCGUUAUGCGGAGUGUGCAUUGUCGUGGUGAAGAAGGAUCCUGCUUCGAGGGCGCUGCUGUCGAAUUUUUCCAAGACAACAGCGACUGACAUACCAGCAGUAACUGUCCUUUUGUCUUCUAGCACAACUGUCGCGAAAUGACCUUUCCGACUAAUGAAUGAGGGAAUCAUCUUUUUUCCUUGACUUCUUCCUUUCUUUACCUUAGUUGGCCGAUCCUCGAAAGGAAACACCCACUGAGCUGAUGUCUUUUGGUUUCAGGUUUCAUCACCUGUGUCGAUGUCAAA